rnacentral:rRNA from 1 species
AAUGAACGCUGGCGGCAGGCCUAACACAUGCAAGUCGAACGGAUCCUUCGGGAUUAGUGGCGGACGGGUGAGUAACGCGUGGGAACAUACCCUUUGGUACGGAAUAGCCUCGGGAAACUGGGAGUAAUACCGUAUGUGGUCGAGAGACGAAAGAUUUACCGCCAAAGGAUUGGCCCGCGUUGGAUUAGGUAGUUGGUGGGGUAAUGGCCUACCAAGCCGACGAUCCAUAGCUGGUUUGAGAGGAUGAUCAGCCACACUGGGACUGAGACACGGCCCAGACUCCUACGGGAGGCAGCAGUGGGGAAUCUUAGACAAUGGGGGAAACCCUGAUCUAGCCAUGCCGCGUGACCGAUGAAGGCCUUAGGGUUGUAAAGAUCUUUCAGGUGGGAAGAUAAUGACUGUACCACCAGAAGAAGCCCCGGCUAACUCCGUGCCAGCCGCCGCGGUAA